UACGUAGGUGACCAGCGUUGUCCGGAUUUACUGGGCGUAAAGAGCGCGCAGGCGGUCGUUCAAGUCGAGUGUGAAAGCCCCCGGCUCAACUGGGGAGGGUCACUCGAUACUGAUCGACUUGAAGGCAGGAGAGGAAAGUGGAAUUCCCGGUGUAGUGGUGAUAUGCGUAGAUAUCGGGAGGAACACCAGUGGCGAAGGCGGCUUUCUGGGCCUUACCUGACGCUGAGACGCGAAAGCGUGGGGAGCGAACCGGAUUGAGAA
rnacentral:rRNA from 1 species